ACUGCUCAGUAACACGUGGACAACCUGCCCUUAGGUUGGGUAUAAACCCGGGAAACUGGGUAUAAUACCCGAUAGGUCUCGAUUGCUGGAGUGCAUCGAGAUUUAAAGCUCCGGCGCCUAAGGAUGGGUCUGCGGCCUAUCAGGUAGUAGUGGGUGUAGCGUACCUACUAGCCUACGACGGGUACGGGUUGUGAGAGCAAGAGCCCGGAGAUGGAUUCUGAGACACGAAUCCAGGCCCUACGGGGUGCAGCAGGCGCGAAAACUUUACAAUGCUGGCAACAGCGAUAAGGGAACCUCGAGUGCCAGGUUACAAAUCUGGCUGUCAAGAUGCCUAAAAAGCAUUUCAUAGCAAGGGCCGGGCAAGACCGGUGCCAGCCGCCGCGGUAACACCGGCGGCUCGAGUGGUAACCGUUAUUAUUGGGUCUAAAGGGUCUGUAGCCGGCCGGAUAAGUCUCUUGAGAAAUCUGGCAGCUUAACUGUCAGGCUUUCAGGAGAUACUGUCUGGCUCGAGGCCGGGAGAGGUGAGAGGUACUUCAGGGGUAGGGGUGAAAUCUUGUAAUCCUUGAAGGACCACCAGUGGCGAAGGCGUCUCACCAGAACGGACCUGACGGCAAGGGACGAAAGCUAGGGGCACGAACCGGAUUAGAUACCCGGGUAGUCCUAGCCGUAAACGAUACUCGCUAGGUGUCGGCCACGGUGCGACCGUUGUCGGUGCCGUAGGGAAGCCGUGAAGCGAGCCACCUGGGAAGUACGGCCGCAAGGCUGAAACUUAAAGGAAUUGGCGGGGGAGCAC
rnacentral:rRNA from 1 species